GAUGAACGCUGGCGGCGUGCUUAACACAUGCAAGUCGAACGAUGAAAGGGGGAGCUUGCUCCUGCUGGAGAAGGGGCGAACGGGUGAGUAACACGUGAGCAAUCUGCCCCGAACGCUGGGGUAAGCGUUGGAAACGACGUCUAAUACCGGAUACGACGUGCGAAGGCACCUUCUGCGCGUGGAAAGAACUUCGGUUCGGGAUGAGCUCGCGGCCUAUCAGGUAGUUGGUGAGGUAACGGUCCACCAAGGCGACGACGGGUAGCCGGCCUGAGGGGGUGACCGGCCACACUGGGACUGAGACACGGCCCAGACUCCUACGGGGGGCAGCAGUGGGGAAUAUUGCACAAUGGGCGCAAGCCUGAUGCCGCAACGCCGCGUGAGGGACGACGGCCUUCGGGUUGUAAACCUCUUUUAGUAGGGAAGAAGCGAAAGUGACGGUACCUGCAGAAAAAGCACCGGCUAAAUACGUGCCAGCAGCCGCAGUACCAC
rnacentral:rRNA from 1 species